UACGAAGGGGGCUAGCGUUGCUCGGAAUCACUGGGCGUAAAGGGUGCGUAGGCGGGUCUUUAAGUCAGGGGUGAAAUCCUGGAGCUCAACUCCAGAACUGCCUUUGAUACUGAGGAUCUCGAGUCCGGGAGAGGUGAGUGGAAUUCCUAGUGUAGAGGUGAAAUUCGUAGAUAUUAGGAAGAACACCAGUGGCGAAGGCGGCUCACUGGCCCGGUACUGACGCUCAUGCACGAAAGCGUGGGGAUCAAACAGG
rnacentral:rRNA from 1 species